GAUGAACGCUGGCGGCAUGCCUAAUACAUGCAAGUCGAACGAAGUCUUUAGGAAGCUUGCUUCCAAAGAGACUUAGUGGCGAACGGGUGAGUAACACGUAGGUAACCUGCCCAUGUGCCCGGGAUAACUGCUGGAAACGGUAGCUAAAACCGGAUAGGUAUGAGGGAGGCAUCUUCCUCAUAUUAAAGCACCUUCGGGUGUGAACAUGGAUGGACCUGCGGCGCAUUAGCUGGUUGGUGAGGUAACGGCCCACCAAGGCGAUGAUGCGUAGCCGACCUGAGAGGGUGAACGGCCACAUUGGGACUGAGACACGGCCCAAACUCCUACGGGAGGCAGCAGUAGGGAAUUUUCGUCAAUGGGGGGAACCCUGAACGAGCAAUGCCGCGUGUGUGAAGAAGGUCUUCGGAUCGUAAAGCACUGUUGUAAGUGAAGAAGGAUAGGAGCAGUAACUGGUCUUUAUUUGACGGUAAUCAACCAAGAAAAAGUCACGGCUAACUACGUGCCAGCAG
rnacentral:rRNA from 1 species